UAAGACAGAGGUGGCAAGCGUUGUUCGGAAUUACUGGGCUUAAAGGGCGCGUAGGUGGUGGCAUAAGUCCGGGGUGGAAGGCUAAGGCUUAACCUUAGAAUUGCCCUGGAAACUGUAUCACUUGAGUCAGCGAGGGGAUGGCGGAAUUCCUGGUGUAGCGGUGAAAUGCGUAGAUAUCAGGAGGAAGGCCGGUGGCGAAGGCGGCCAUCUGGCGCUGAACUGACACUGAGGCGCGAAAGCGUGGGGAGCAAACAGGAUUAGAUACCCUGGUAGUCCACGCCCUAAACGGUGGGUACUAGGUGUAGGGCUCGUAAGGGUUCUGUGCCGAAGGGAAACCAUUAAGUACCCCGCCUGGGGAGUACGGCCGCAAGGUUGAAACUUAAAUGAAUUGACGG
rnacentral:rRNA from 1 species